rnacentral:rRNA from 1 species
GAUGAACGCUGGCGGCGUGCCUAGUACAUGCAAGUCGAGCGAACAGACGAGGAGCUUGCUCCUCUGACGUUAGCGGCGGACGGGUGAGUAACACGUGGAUAACCUACCUAUAAGACUGGGAUAACUUCGGGAAACCGGAGCUAAUACCGGAUAAUAUAUUGAACCGCAUGGUUCAAUAGUGAAAGACGGUUUUGCUGUCACUUAUAGAUGGAUCCGCGCCGCAUUAGCUAGUUGGUAAGGUAACGGCUUACCAAGGCAACGAUGCGUAGCCGACCUGAGAGGGUGAGCUGCCACACUGGAACUGAGACACGGUCCAGACUCCUACGGGAGGCAGCAGUAGGGAAUCUUCCGCAAUGGGCGAAAUCCUGACGGAGCAACGCCGCGUGAUUGAUGAAGGUCUUCGGAUCGUAAAACUCUGUUAUUAGGGAAGAACAAAUGUGUAAGUAACUAUGCACGUCUUGACGGUACCUAAUCAGAAAGCCACGGCUAACUACGUG